UGGGGAAUAUUGCACAAUGGGCGCAAGCCUGAUGCAGCCAUGCCGCGUGUAUGAAGAAGGCCUUCGGGUUGUAAAGUACUUUCAGCGGGGAGGAAGGCGAUAAGGUUAAUAACCUUGUCGAUUGACGUUACCGGCAGAAGAAGCACCGGCUAACUCCGUGCCAGCAGCCGCGGUAAUACGGAGGGUGCAAGCGUUAAUCGGAAUUACUGGGCGUAAAGCGCACGCAGGCGGUCUGUCAAGUCGGAUGUGAAAUCCCCGGGCUCAACCUGGGAACUGCAUUCGAAACUGGCAGGCUAGAGUCUUGUAGAGGGGGGUAGAAUUCCAGGUGUAGCGGUGAAAUGCGUAGAGAUCUGGAGGAAUACCGGUGGCGAAGGCGGCCCCCUGGACAAAGACUGACGCUCAGGUGCGAAAGCGUGGGGAGCAAACA
rnacentral:rRNA from 1 species